UACGGAGGCAGCGAGCGUUGUUCGGAAUUACUGGGCGUAAAGAGUGUGUAGGUGGUGUCGUAAGUUUGGUGUGAAAUCUCCCGGCUUAACUGGGAGGGUGCGCCGAAGACUGCGAUGCUGGAGUAUGGGAGAGGAAAGCGGAAUUCCGGGUGUAGCGGUGGAAUGCGUAGAGAUCCGGAAGAACACCGGUGGCGAAGGCGGCCUGCUGGGCAGUGGCUGACACUGAGGCGCGACAGCGUGGGGAGCAAACAGG
rnacentral:rRNA from 1 species